rnacentral:rRNA from 1 species
AUUGAACGCUGGCGGCAGGCCUAACACAUGCAAGUCGAACGGUAGCACAGAGAGCUUGCUCUCGGGUGACGAGUGGCGGACGGGUGAGUAAUGUCUGGGAAACUGCCCGAUGGAGGGGGAUAACUACUGGAAACGGUAGCUAAUACCGCAUAACGUCGCAAGACCAAAGUGGGGGACCUUCGGGCCUCACACCAUCGGAUGUGCCCAGAUGGGAUUAGCUAGUAGGUGGGGUAAUGGCUCACCUAGGCGACGAUCCCUAGCUGGUCUGAGAGGAUGACCGGCCGCACUGGAACUGAGACACGGUCCAGACUCCUACGGGAGGCAGCAGUGGGGAAUAUUGCACAAGGGGCGCAAGCCUGAUGCAGCCAUGCCGCGUGUAUGAAGAAGGCCUUCGGGUUGUAAAGUACUUUCAGCGGGGAGGAAGGCGGUGGAGUUAAUAGCUUCACCGAUUGACGUUACCCGCAGAAGAAGCACCGGCUAACUCCGUGCCAGCCGCCGCAGUAA